rnacentral:rRNA from 1 species
GUUCAAAUCCGGCCCCCGACGGUGGAUGCCCUGGCAGUCAGAGGCGAUGAAGGACGUGCUAAUCUGCGAAAAGCAACGGCGAGGUGAUAUGAACCCCUGACCCGUUGAUGUCCGAAUGGGGAAACCCAGUGCAACUCGUUGCACUAUCGUUAGCUGAAUACAUAGGCUAACGAGGCGAACCGGGGGAACUGAAACAUCUAAGUACCCCGAGG